rnacentral:lncRNA from 1 species
AGGCUGUAAAUAUUGAGGUGGGCACAAGUAUCUCCUCUGUCAUAGCCUGCGCGUCAGUCCUCACCACCUGUGGUGAGGCUGGUGGUGGACAUGGGCUUUUCUGAGCUGAAAGCGUAGCUGCUGUUCACUUGCUCUUCCCUCUGCUGGGAAUGCCACUUCCCUACUCCUCUGCCCAAGUAAUGCCAAUUCAUCCUUCACAAGGUGGCACAAACUGUCCCUUUGAGAAGGCUUUCUGAGCAGCCCCUCCUCUG